rnacentral:rRNA from 1 species
AGUUCGAUCAUGGCUCAGAUUGAACGCGCUGGCGGGGAUGCUUUACACAUGCAAGUCGAACGGCAGCACGGACUUCGGUCUGGUGGCGAGUGGCGAACGGGUGAGUAAUGUAUCGGAACGUGCCUAGUAGCGGGGGAUAACUACGCGAAAGCGUAGCUAAUACCACGCUUACGCCCUUCGGGGGAAAGCGGGGGGACCUUCGGGCCUCGCACUAUUAGAGCGGCCGAUAUCGGAUUAGCUAGUUGGUGGGAGUAACGGCUCACCAAGGCGACGAUCCGUAGCUGGUUUGAGAGGACGACCAGCCACACUGGGACUGAGACAUGGCCCAGACUCCUACGGGAGGCAGCAGUGGGGAAUUUUGGACAAUGGGGAAACCCUGAUCCAGCCAUCCCGCGUGUGCGAUGAAGCUUCGGGUUGUAAAGCACUUUUGGCAGGAAAGAAACGGCACGGGAUAAUACCCCGUGCAACUGACGUGCUGCAGAAUAAGCACCGGCUAACUACGUACCCGGCAGCCGCGGUAAUACGUAGGGUGCAAGCGUUAAUCGGAAAUUACUGGGCGUAAAGCGUGCGCAGGCGGUUCGGAAAGAAAAGAUGUGAAAUCCCGACCUUAACUUUGGAACUGCAUUUUUAACUACCGAGCUAGAGUGUGUCAGAGGGAGGUGGAAUUCCGCGUGUAGCAGUGAAAUGCGUAGAUAUGCGGAGGAACACCGAUAGCGAAGGCAGCCUCCUGGGAUAACACUGACGCUCAUGCACGAAAGCGUGGGGAGCAAACAGGAUUAGAUACCCUGGUAGUCCACGCCCUAAACGAUGUCAACUAGCUGUUGGGGCCUUCGGGCCUUGGUAGCGCAACUAACGCGUGAAGUUGACCGCCUGGGGAAUACGGUCGCAAGAUUAAAACUCAAAGAAUUGACGGGGACCCGCACAAGCGGUGGAUGAUGUGGAUUAAUUCGAUGCAACGCGAAAACCUUACCUACCCUUGACAUGUCUGGAAUCCCGAAGAGAUUUGGGAGUGCUCGCAAGAGAACCGGAACACAGGGUGCUGCAUGGCUGCUCGUCAGCUCGUGUCGUGAGAUGUUGGGUUAAGUCCCGCAACAGCGAGCGCAACCCUUGUCAUUAGUUGCUACGAAAGGGCACUCAUGGGACUGCCGGUGACAAACCGGAGGAAGGUGGGGAUGACGUCAAGUCCUCAUGGCCCUUAUGGGUAGGGCUUCACACGUCAUACAAUGGUCGGGACAGAGGGUCGCCAACCCGCGAGGAGCCAAUCCCAAACCCGAUCGUAGUCCGGAUCGCAGUCUGCAACUCCGACUGCGGCAAGUCGGAAUCGCUAUUAAUCGCGGUCAGCAUGUCGCGGUGAAUACGUUCCCGGGUCUUGUACACACCGCCGUCACACCAUGGGAGUGGGUUUUACCGAAGUAGUUAGCCCUAACCGUAAGGAGGGCGAUUACCACGGUAGGAUUCAUGACUGGGGUGAAGUCGUAACAAAGGUAG